GCGAGGCAAGCGAGCGAGCGACAUGUUGAACUGAAAGUGGCCUGGGGGGUGUAUGGCGUCCCUGAACACGGGUUCUGGGGGGGUAUGCCUCCCGGGGAGCGUGCAAGGCACACUGUGCGUGAUGGAGGGCAGCAAACAAACAAACAAACAAA
rnacentral:misc_RNA from 1 species